ACUCAAAGGAAUAGACGGGGGCCCGCACAAGCAGCGGAGCGUGUGGUUUAAUUCGAUGCAACGCGCAGAACCUUACCCAGGCUUGACAUGCCCGAAGUAGAACGCGGAAACGCGAACGACCUGUUGAGUCAGGAGCGGGCACAGAUGCUGCAUGGCUGUCGUCAGCUCGUGCCGUGAGGUGUUGGGUUAAGUCCCGCAACGAGCGCAACCCUCGUUGCCAGUUAUCUUUCUGGCGAGACCGCCGGGAUCAACCCGGAGGAAGGUGGGGAUGACGUCAAGUCAGCACGGCUCUUACGUCUGGGGCUACACACACGCUACAAUGGCCGGUACAAUGGGCAGCUAAGGGGCGACCCGGCGCGAAUCCCAGCAAAGCCGGCCUCAGUGGGGAUCGGAGGCUGCAACUCGCCUCCGUGAACGCGGAGUUGCUAGUAACCGCCGGUCAGCACACGGCGGUGAAUACGUUCCCGGGCCUUGCACACACCGCCCGU
rnacentral:rRNA from 1 species